AUGUUUGUGUUUAGGGUGAGCCAUUGCCAGUAUAACUUUGUUUUUUGCAAUUUAAUUUACGAUAUAGACGUGAUCAAUUCAGACGGCGCGGGAAAUAAAAGCGUGAAUCGCGGCCACACCAUUUCUUGCGUCGCCGCUCCAUCACCGGCGGCUUAUCUCCGUUUCUCCACCGCUUCCGAACGAAAUCGACACCUUCUUCCACCUCCAACAUAG